rnacentral:lncRNA from 10 species
GGAAGAAAGGAAAGGAAAAAGGAAAGGAAAGGAAAGGAAAGGAAAGGAAAGGAAAGGAAAGGAAAGGAAAGGAAAGGAAAGGAAAGCCUUCAUAAACUGCAAAUAUAAAUUAAAGGUGGUAUGAUUACGCCACUAAACCAAUCUUCCCAAAUACAAAAAUUAAGUCUGACUUUCCUUCACCAUGCCCUGCCCCCACCACUGUAACUCCAUGGACAUGAUCGUGUGUCAAGACCAACACUGAGUAUCUGCAUUUCUCCCAGUUCCAGUGGUCUGUAAACUCAUAGGACGGGUCUUAGCCAUUUGAUGUCCCUAGUAACCUGUAGUGUCAGAUGCUCAAUAUGCCUUGAAUAAACAUUGAGUGAAUAAAUGUAAGGUGGGAAGCAUGGAGGAGGUCAGUCUGAAGGAAAAGGUGAAAAGGUAAGAGUGGGCUAGAUCUCUAGAAAAUUUUACAUGCUCUUGGAAAUCAGGAAGAACAAUUAGAGGCACUGGAUUAACUGGAGUGCACCUCCUUAAGUCUUUUGGCUCAAAUGUCAACAACCAGAAUUCACUUGGAGUAGAGUGAGCUUCAGGGAUGCUUAAUUUAGCAAGGCUGAAUUCAGCUUUGGUGGUCUUUCCUUAGUGGCAGGGAAGGGGUGCCCUGCUGAGCUGCAGGGAGCAGUGAUAUAUUAGGAAUAUCUAGAUUUGGGAACCUUUCAAAAGAUGCAUGUCCUUGUCUUACACCCAAACAAAGCUGAUAGAGCCAAAAUUCAAAGAAACAGUUCUUCCUAGUCCCUGAAAAAAAGUGAAACAUCUAUCCAUCUAUUAAAAAUUUGCUAGGUCCCUGCUGUGUGCUGUACUAGGUGCUGGAGUGCCAUAAAAGGAAUCACACUCGAGGCUGAUCACAAGACUUCUUUUCCACUUGGAAGAAGCUCAUGGGAGCCAGCACUGAUGCAGGUCCAGGCCUGGGGAAAGCAUAUGCCCCCAAGACCCAUCAAGCUUGUCCCUGCCAUCUCUCUCCAUCAUUCUAGCUUCGCCCUAGCUUGUGGGUACCACGGGUACCUAUUUCCAGGAACCCAGGGAAUUCCUUUUGACCUUGCUGGGAAACUGCAAAUCACCCAACAGGAGCUUAGCUGUGCAGCCAACAUUUGGAACUACUCAAUAGCUUUCUGGAGUCAACAAAUAAGGAAAUAAUUUCUUUAGGAUAAAAAAAUGUUUUGUUUUAGUAAAGGGUAAUGGCACUCCAUUGCGAAUGGAAACUGUUCUCCCCUUGGUUUAAGUGGAGCCCAUUUGUCAGCACUGCUUGAGGCCUGCGAAGUGACCAUCUAGGUAUUUUUCUCAAGUGAAGAAUGAUCUGAGGACAUCUUCGCCACUGGGUCCCUCUUACUCAUGUGACUUCCAAGUUUUCUGGUGGUAAAGUUGGAGGCAGAGAGAGCAUGCCCCUGAAUUGGACAGUAGAGUGUCCUUCAGCUGAUAGAAGAUCACUUCAGGGCAGGUGGAGCAGCCACAGAAGAAAAUGGUAAUUACUCAACUGCUCGUGCACCUCAUUUUGAAUCUAUCCUGCUCUUCAGCUCUUUCUGCACAUAAAGGAAGAGGCUCCUUGUCAUUUGAAAAGAUUGCACCAAAGUGGCAGUGUUGACAGAGCCUUCCCUGUCAAAGCCACUUUCUCAAUACAUUUAAUUAGCAAGGGCUUCCAAGGGCCCCCUGCCAGCCCAACACAGGCCUGGAUGACACCUGAGUGAGGUUGCCACAGUCCCAGCCAAACCCCUUCAAGCUCCAUUUUUAGAUGUACUACAACCAGCUAGCUUUCAGCAAGUUCCCCUCCCGCCCCUUUGCCCAAUGCUGGUCAGCUGGGCAGCUUGACUGUGAAGCCUUUCUUUCCAGGCCAUGGGGAAAGAACCAAAGGAAGCUGCUUUCUCUCAUGCAUACAGUAUUUUUGAACAAAGAGGCCUGUAUGCAUUGCAACAACAGCGUCUCUAGAUCCUGAGCGUGGGCCCCGCUUGGCAGAGGGUCAGCAGCAUGGUGGAGGGCAUGCAUUGGAAUACAGAUUGCCACCAAGCCUUUGGGGCCAUGCCCAUCAUGUGGCUGGGCCUGGCUCUGGCAGCCCGACAUUCAGCUGCCAACAGCUUGCAGGCCUGUUUGCUGCAUGGCCAGCAUCCUGUUUGGUGAUUUGAUGAGAGUCCCAGGCUCUCUUUGCAUAUCAGAACACUGGUCUCCGUGCACCUCGCGUGGGAUGACUGUAUCUGGACAACUGAGAUGUUCCUUGCCAUUGAUUAAAUGCUUAGCAAGCUCAGAAAAUACAGCUGGAAACUCCUUGGAGCCCUCCGCCUACUGCUCUUCAUCCACAGCCUCUCCCUGCAAAGCGGGG